GCCUUCGUGGUGAAGUGGUCAGCACACUCGACGCGUAAAUGAGAGGUUCGAGGUUCGAUUCCGGGCGAAGGCG
rnacentral:tRNA from 1 species